GGGGGCCGGGAAGGGACCUGGCUGGGGAAUGAGAAAACCUGGGGCCAUCGUCAACCCAGAGACUUGGGUUUGCAGGUGAAGGGUAUCGGGCCGUCCAUCCCUCUAGCAUGCUUCUCACGACUUGCAUCUUUACCCACUAGACUUCUGCGCUGACCCAGGGGCUGGAGCGAAUCCCAGACCAGCUCGGCUACCUGGUACUGAGUGAAGGUGCAGUGCUGGCGUCAUCUGGGGACCUGGAGAAUGAUGAGCAGGCAGCCAGUGCCAUCUCUGAGCUGGUCAGCACAGCCUGCGGUUUCCGGCUGCACCGCGGCAUGAAUGUGCCCUUCAAGCGCCUGUCUGUGGUCUUUGGAGAACACACACUGCUGGUGACG
rnacentral:lncRNA from 1 species